GACGAACGCUGGCGGCGUGCCUACUACAUGCAAGUCGAACGCAGUGGGGACGGGUGAGUAACACGUGGGUAACCUCCCAUCAGAGGGGAUACCCCUUGGCAACAGGUGCUAAACCGAUACGGCUGGAUGGACCAGCGGUGCAUGCGCCAGGUGGUGAGGUAACGGCUCACCAAGGCCACGAUGCAUAGACGACCUGAGAGGGUGAUCUGCCACACUGGGACUGAGACACGGCCCAGAUGCCUACGGGAGGCAGCAGUAGGGAAUCUUCGGCAAUGGACGAAAGUCUGACCGAGCAACGCCGCGUGAGUGAAGAAGGUUUUCGGAUCGUAAAACUCUGUUGUUAGAGAAGCGGUAUCUAACCAGAAAGCCACGGCUAACUACGUGCCAGCAGCCGCGGUAAUUC
rnacentral:rRNA from 1 species